rnacentral:tRNA from 2 species
GGUCUUUUAGUUUAAUGGUCUAAACAUCAACCCUUCACGUUGAAGAUUGCAAGUUCGAGUCUUGUAAAGAUCA